UACGUAGGUGGCAAGCGUUGUCCGGAAUUAUUGGGCGUAAAGCGCGCGCAGGCGGUCCUUUAAGUCUGAUGUGAAAGCCCACGGCUCAACCGUGGAGGGUCAUUGGAAACUGGGGGACUUGAGUACAGAAGAGAAGAGUGGAAUUCCACGUGUAGCGGUGAAAUGCGUAGAGAUGUGGGGGAACACCAGUGGCGAAGGCGACUCUUUGGUCUGUAACUGACGCUGAGGCGCGAAAGCGUGGGGAGCAAACAGG
rnacentral:rRNA from 1 species